CCUGGGUUCCAGUGAUCCUCCCACCUCAGCCUCCCCAGUAGCUGGGGCUACGGGUCUAGCUGCAGUACAGUGAUGCAGUCAUAGCCCACUGCAGCCUCAAAUUCCUGGGCUCAAGCAAUCCACCCACAUCAGCUUCCCAAGUAGUUGGGACUACAGGCCCACACUACUAUGCCCAGACCAACAGAUAUUCUAGCAUAUAAGAAAUGUGAUGCUCUCUGUACAUUGAAGAGUUGGUCUAAUAUUUGGCCUGGUGGAUACAGAAAUUGCCUGUCUGCUCCGCUCUGGUUGAAGAAACCAGUCCGAUUGUCUCUGAGGCUAUGGAGCAGUCCAUCAAGAAUGAAAGCCCUCGGCCAGCACGUUGGCUCACACCUGUAAUACCAGCGCUUUGGGAGGCUGAGGCAGGUGGAUCACUUGAAGUCACGAGUU
rnacentral:lncRNA from 1 species